GGACCCCUGUGAUGUAUAGCACUGGGCUCUGGCCACCCUGAUGAUACGUUGUGCCCCCUGGGACCUUUGACAUCCAGGGGCCUGAGGGGUUU